CAAAAGGCUCUCUUAAGAGCCAAAUAAAAUAUUGUGGAAAUGGCAGU
rfam:Sarcophilus harrisii ctg7180001665915, whole genome shotgun sequence.